UACGUAGGUGGCAAGCGUUUGUCCCGGAUUUACUGGGCGUAAAGAGCGCGCAGGCGGUCGUUCAAGUCGCGUGUGAAAGCCCCCGGCUCAACUGGGGAGGGUCACGCGAUACUGAUCGACUCGAAGGCAGGAGAGGGUAGUGGAAUUCCCGGUGUAGUGGUGAAAUGCGUAGAUAGUCGGGAGGAACACCAGUGGCGAAGGCGGGUCUCUGGGCCGGUAACUGACGCUGAGGAGCGAAAGCGUGGGUAGCAA
rnacentral:rRNA from 1 species